CCUACGGGAGGCAGCAGUAGGGAAUCUUGCGCAAUGGGCGAAAGCCUGACGCAGCAACGCCGCGUGCGGGAAGAAGGCCUUCGGGUUGUAAACCGCUUUUGGCAGGAACGAAAAUGACGGUACCUGCAGAAUAAGGUGCGGCCAACUACGUGCCAGCAGCCGCGGUGACACGUAGGCACCAAGCGUUGUCCGGAUUUAUUGGGCGUAAAGAGCUCGUAGGCGGUUCAGUAAGUCGGGUGUGAAAACUCUGGGCUUAACCCGGAGACGCCACCCGAUACUGCUGAACUUGAGUUCGGUAGGGGAGCGGGGAAUUCCUAGUGUAGCGGUGAAAUGCGCAGAUAUUAGGAGGAACACCGGUGGCGAAGGCGCCGCUCUGGGCCGAAACUGACGCUGAGGAGCGAAAGCGUGGGUAGCAAACAGGAUUAGAUACCCUGGUAGUCCACGCCGUAAACGUUGGGCACUAGGUGUGGGUUCCAACCAACGGAAUCCGUGCCGUCGCUAACGCAUUAAGUGCCCCGCCUGGGGAGUACGGCCGCAAGGCUAAAACUCAAAGGAAUUGACGG
rnacentral:rRNA from 1 species